rnacentral:lncRNA from 1 species
AAUCCAAUAGGAUUAUAGAGAAUUUAUAAUUAAAUGUUAACAAUCAUAAUCAAACAUUAAGCAAGUUCAAUUAAAUUUUAUUGAAGUUAUAAAAGAAACACAAAGAAAUCCUAAAGAAAUAUAAAAGAAUAUUAAAGAAAACUUAAUCAAAUCCUAAAAAAAAUCUAAUAAAACCUUAAAUUCUAACCAAUCUCUAAUCCUAAUCCAACCUUAAUCAAAUCCUAGAUAAAUCCUAAAUCCUAAACCAAACCCUAAUCAAAUCUUAAUCAAACUCUAAACCUAAAACCAAUCCCUAAUCAAAUCCUAAAUCAAAUCUUAAAUCCUAAUUCAAAUCCUAAUUCAAACCCUAAUCCAAAUCCUAAAUCCUAAACCAAACCCUAACUCUAAACCCUAAUCAAAUCCUAACCUAAACCAAAUCCUAAUCACAGAUUUGAAAAUUAAAUAACUAAAGAUUGAACCAUUGAUUCUAAUUCAAAAUUUGCACUCUUCUUGGAGUUUAAGUUAGAAAUCAGGACACUAAUUUUGAAGAAAAUCGCACUUACCAAUUAGUUGAUGACCUCAAAAUUCUGCUCAAAUGUCGGCUGGUCUCUCCUUCUCCAAUCUUGAUGCCAACUUCCAAUGCUGAUAUCUCCUUUUUCUACUAUUUGAUAGCUUCCAAAAUUUACUUGCAUAUAGGAAAUCAAGUCUUCUACUGAUAAAACCAAAAAUCUUUCCAAUCCAACUAGCAGAUUGCUAGAUAUCUAAGAAAACCUUAUUGGUCUUCAAAACCCUAAAUCUUGAGACCUUAGCCUACAAAAACCUUCAUAUGUAUCGAUCUAGCCAUUCGAUUGAUCUCAAAUCUCUUAUACACAUUAACAACAAGCAUACCAAUAAGUUUCUAAAUUUUCACCCGUAAAAAUGCUACAAAAGACACGUAAUUCAAAAAUUUGUAAAUCGGUUUUAUUUCUCAAAGAUCUGAAGUCACAGAGAACAUCACUUGCUUUGAAAAUCCCUCAAAAAUCCAAUACUGAUCCAAAAAACACGAAAUCACUUCUCAAAAAUUCCUCCACAAGUCUUCUCUCUAAUUCGGCUCUUUGAUCUGCCAAAGAACCCUUGAGUCACCGUCAGAGCACGGUUUUGUGCCUCGGGGUCUGAUUUCGACCCAGGUUCAUAACCGGUCCUCUUCGGGUAUCAAAUUUUGUUUUUUUGAGGUAAUUUUUACUAAUUUGCACUCCUAACUCCUCCCUACACAUGCCUAUAUCCUUUAUUUUUCUAAUCUAUCUUGUUUUGUCUUAUUUAUGGCCUUAUAAAGUAAAUAGAAGCAUAAUUUGUAAAAAGGCAGCAUUAGCACCUUUAAUUUUUCUACCCUUUGACUAAUAUCUAUUUUUCCAAGAUAAUUUGCUACAAUAUUUUUGAAGUGAGAUCCUCAAAAAAUGAUAUUUUCUUCAUCCUUUCACUUGUUAGCCAUGUUACAUCAUGACAUCCACCCCUCCUAAACCUUUGCAUCCUUUGGUAUGCGCCAAGUUCCUUCAUUAUAUUGAUAUCAAAUGUUCUUUAUCUUGGUCAAAUUCUUGAUCUUCAUUUUGCUCUUUUUCUUCCAUCUCAAUAUCUCGUAUUAGAUUUUGUUCUUCAUCAAAAUAAAUGUCUUUACCUCUUUGAUUAAACAAUUUGAUUUGCUUGCCUACUAUUGGUAUCUUUAAAUCUGUACCAUCCAAUUCUCAUAACAAGUAUGUUCCAUUCUCAUGCACUUGUUUGACAACAUAAGGUCUAAACCAUCUCCUUGCAAAUUUCUUUGCCGUACUAUGUUGGUUGUCCAAACUACUAUCGUAAACCAAUACCCAAUCACCAUUUUGAAUUGGUUUUGGAUGCAAUCGAUGCUUUUUGUCAAACCUCUCCUUGUUUUUUUUCUCUCGCUUCUUUCAACUUUUUCAAAACUACUUCAAUGUCCUGAGGCCUUCUUUCAAGUUGUCAAAUUCGUAAUACCAAUAACUCUUCUCUUGUUAAACCAUCUUCCCAAGGUAAUAUAGUCUAUGUUGAUACAACCUCCUCUAUCGGCAUUACCGAUUUUUGACCAUACAUCAAUUCAGCUGGCAUGUAUCCUGUAACCGUACUAUGAAUUGUGCAAUCCGCCCAUAAUGUAAAUGGUAAUAAUUUAAGCCAAUCACUUAUCUUGCCUUUGCAUACUUUAACCAAUGUUUUAAUAAUCAAAGAAUAUCCACGUUCAUUCUUGUCAUUCUCUUCUGGAUUAUAUGCUGUUGUCAAUGCAAGUUUAAUAUCCAUCCUUUCAAAGAACUCUCGUGCUUCAUUUGUAUCCAAAUCUCCUCUAUCUAUAGUGAUUUUUCCAAUACAUCCAUAUCGGCAAAUAAUUUCUUUUAAUAUAAACUGACAUACUCCUUCCGUAGUCUUUAUUGAAAUUACUCUUUCCUCUACUUGAUUUGUCAAAUCUUCCCGAGCAAGUACCAAAUAUUUCCUCUGACCAAAUCCCAUUGGCAUUACAACUAAAUCAACCACAUAUUUAUAAUGAAUUACUAAUGGGUAUGUAAGAUUCAAACCAUCUCGAUGACAAAUAUUUGAAUAUAUUUUGCAAGUUUCACAAGAUCCUACAAAAUCUGCCACAUCCCUAUACAUGCCCUUCCACUAAUAUUUUUCUUUCAACUUAAUAAAUGUUGUUCAAAUACCUCGAUGCCCUACCCAUAAACUUUCAUGAAAUUCCUUAAUAAUCAUUUAUUGAGCUUCUAAACCACAUAUCACUCGUUGUGGUACUUCUCCUCUCUUCUUUGGAUGCUUCCAUAAAUAUCCAUCAUGUAAAAAAUAUCCAUAGGCUUUCUUUCGGAUUUUCUUAAAUUCUUGAUGUGUCCAACCAUCUUGUCACUUUAAUGUACUUAAAUACUCCUCAAUGUCUUUCCAUUCUUCUUCAUAUAGAUCUCUUGAAAAUAUUUCUAAUGGUAUAUUCAAACAUAUACUUUCUUCCUUUGAUAAUGCAUUAGUAUAAAAAUUUGUACCCACAUCAUCUUCUAAAUCUAUCAUAGCUUCUUCAUUGUAAUACUUUGCUCUUGAUAACGUAUCUAUGACUGAAUUUUCUUUUCCUGUAAUAUGUUUAAAUUCCGGAUUUAUAGAUUUGAUAUAUGCCAUCCACCUUAAUAUAGCAAUAUCGGGAGUUGAACAACUUGUAAUCAUACCCAAUAAAGAUAGACAAUCUGUUUCUAUAACUACUGAUGCACCAAUCAAAUACUCCCUUUCAUUUUUCAUAGCUAUUACUACACCCUAUAAUUCUCUUUUGAUUUGUGUAUAUAUCCUUUGUCUAGCAUUCAAAACCUUUGUUCCAAACUUUACUACAUAUCUAUUCCCUUGUUCAUCAUCUUGUCCAACUACCCAACUUAUUCCAAUUGGACUUGCAUCAAAUGUUAAUAUUACUGGCCUUCCACAUUCAUAAUUUACUUUCUUCAAAGUUGGAGGUGAAGAAAGAAAUUCUUUUAACUUUGCCAUAGCUUUUCUUUGUUCUUCUUUCUAUUGAAAUUUUUGUUUCUUUCGUAACAACUUAUAUAAUGGAUCUAUUAUAUGUGCAAAAUGAGAUAUCCAUAUAUGAUAAAAAAUACAUGCUCUUAAAAACCUCCUUACUUUUGUCAUAUUUGCACACUCUUUCAUUUUUUUUUUCUAAUAUCAACUUUUUUCCUAUUUGAUUUGCGUCCAUAUGAACCACACAUGUGCCCUACUACCAAAACUUCUUUUAUUCCAAAUAUUGAUUUUAUCCCCAAUAAGGUUAAAUGAACUUCUACUAGCCUUAUUAAAAUCUUCUCACAAUCAUCAAUAUGAUCUGCCACAAACUUCCUACAUCCCUUUGAAUCCAAUGUCUCAUCUUUUCUUUCUUCUUCACAUCCCUUAAUUGGCACAUUAUCUAGAAAAAAUAUUGUUAUUCUAGGAAUAAAAUUUCUUAGUACCUUAUGCAUUCCAUUCAUCAUGUGUGCCACAGAAUUUGUAGCCUUUUGUGGUAAUGUACACAUUUUGAUCAAUCCCAAUGGUGUCUUCAUAGUUGUCAAAUCUCUACUUUGCAUUGCCAAUUGAAAUUGAUCGUAUCUUGAGCAAAGAUCUCCCAUAGAAUAAAUUAAUCUUCUUGUAAAUGCCUUUGCAAAUUCAUCCACAAUUGGACUUGAGCCCAUGUUUCUAAUAGUUAUUUUAUUUACUGGUUGCAUAUCUUGAAUAAACCUCAAUGUUCCAUUUUUCUUAGAUAUUAUGAACCACCGAUUGGAAUAUUGUGCAAUAGAUGGUUCUAAAAUUUUAAUCUUAAUUUUUUUAUUGAGUAAUUCAACUAGCUUUGGCAAAUGGGCCUUUGGGAUUGGAAUUGGCCUCAAAUUCCAUGGUUCAUGUGGAAUUAUAAAAAUAACCAUAGGUACUACAAUACUCAGAUCAAUACACCCUAUUUCAUGUAAUUCAAAUACAAAUGCUUUACUAUAUCAUAAAAGAAUUUCUUGAAACAUCUCUCCUCAUCUCUUGUCAAAAAUUUAUCACAUCUAAUUUUCAAACCAUCUAACAUCAAAUUAUCCUUAAAUUCAUGACCUAUUUUCCUUAGAUCUCUUAAGUUAGGUUGCAUAGAAGCCCCUUUAAUCCUUUCUUCAAAAUCCGAUGGUAGUGGCAAUGCCACUGGUUUAACCUUCUUUAUAACAAUCUUAUAUUUUGUGUUCACCUUCACUUCAUACCUAUCCAUAUAUUCUUUUAUUCCAUCAUAAAAUUACUUAGAAUGGACAUUUAUUAUUUUAUCACCUCUUUCAAAAUCUCCAUUCAAUAAUAUUAGUAAAUCAUUCAUAGUAUCACCAAAAUAAGAUUCUUUAAAUAUCCUUGAUAUGUAUUUAUCUUCAUCAAUCAUUUCACAUUUCUUUAAUCCCUAGUCUACAUUCUUAAAAUUUUUCUUAUCUAUCCUAUUAAAAUUAUUUAUGUUUUUGAAUAAAAUAUAUCCGUCUCGUGAUAAUCUUAUAAUAUCUUCAUCCUUUCUAUUAGGCGGGAAGCCUUCAAUCUUUUUACUAUUGCAAUCCCGCUUUACAAUGGUGUCUAGUAAAAAUCCUUUGAGUCUUUAAGAUCUUCAAAUUCUUUAUGUAUCUUUGGCAAAGGAUGUUCCCUCAAACUAUUCCUAUUUCUUCCAUGAUUUACACAAACUGUUAAAAAUUGCACCGCCCUCUUUCCGUUGUCGUGUUGUAACACGAGUAUACCGUGAAAAUAUAAAGAAAGGGGACUUUUAUUAAUGUUCAGUUACCUCGAAUAUUGGGAGCAACGACCAACUCCAGUGCAAAUACUGAGUGGCCACGUUCAGUCACCCCGUUACAGUCAGCCAGGGCAUACUGAAAUGCUACGUUCGAUUCCAAUAACGGAAGUCAGCAGGAAGAGAAAGGACCAAUUCACACGACGGGUGAGCUUGGUUCGAAGAGCCAAUUGGAUCCAAUUUCAAGAAUCCAAUCCGGGUCCUCUUACCCAAUAUGAGACCUGCAUUGGUCAGGCAACCCAAUGCAGUCUUAUUACGGGAACAUCCAGGUUACUACGGGCAUCUUACCAAUAUGAGACCUGCAUUGGUCGGACAACCCAAUGCAGUCUAAUUACGGGAGAAUCCGGGUCUUACAACUGGAUUCUUAUCUAAUAUGAGACCUGAAUUGGUCGGGCGACUCAAUGUGGACCCGAGUACGGGGUUUCGAUUCUGUUUUAGGUUGUCAUAUUCUCUGUUUCAGGGAAAGUUGUUUUCGGUAAAUGGAUUUCUUAAAGGUAAAAACGGAGGAGAAAGCUCUGACGGCGAGAGCCAAAUUCGGAUCUAAGCCUUGAUGGCGAGAGCCAAUUUCGGAUCUAAGCUCUGACGGCAGGAGCAAAUUUCGGAUCCAAGAUGGAAGAUUGAAGAAAUUCAGAGGAUAAGGUUAGGGGGGGAGUAAGUUUUGGGGAGGUUUUUUUUCAGAUCAGGGGGAGGUUUUUCUUUUUGAAGAUAGGGAAGAGCUAGCUUCAAGCUCUUUUCAAGGUUACUAGUUCGGUUUCAUUGGAGGUUUUUGAAGAUCAAGGAUUGGAGAGGAGCUUCAUGCUUCGGGUCAGGGAAGAAAAGACGGAGAAUUGGAUUUUUCUUCUUCAUAGAGUUUUGAGGAGACUAAGGCAAUCGUUGCUGAAGUCAGUGUUGUAAUGGUGAAUCGGGAUUUUUUUAAUAAAGUGGACUUGAUUACUCUUGACUGUUUUGUGAAAUCGAGUUACGUCUGUGAUUGAAGAAUUAAAAGGGUGUCUAUAGGAUUGAGUAUGCGGAGCGAAUGAAAUUUAUUGGGUUAAUCUAACAAGACAGUCAGUGGAUAUAAGAUCGUAAGUACAAAGCGGUAUCGGAGAUUAGCAGAUUGAGUUAUUCGAGGUUCUCUGUAGCGUCUAGAGAUCUACCGGCUGGGGUAAAAAGGACUUCGACAAGCAGUCAAAGGGCAUCCGUAUAGAUUUACGGUGUAUUCUUGUAGUCGUUUAUAUUCCAGCAGUCAAAAACUGAUAGACUGCUUGACUAUUGGCGAAUCUCCAUAUUACCUUCUACAGCCAAACGCCCGGCGCGUUUUUGAGCAGAAAAGCACGUAAUACGACAAAAGUGGUAAACCCGACGUGAAAGCUUGAGGAGGAAGGUAUUGGAUUUUGGUUGAUUUUAUCUUUAUUUUAUGGAAAACGAAAAUAAAAAAUUUGAAGGAUUUUUGGGAGGAGUUUCUGGUAGGGAUUCUUCUAAAGGACAAGGUAUGCACAUGGAUCCGUCUAUUGCUAGUAUGUUUCAAGCCUUCUCAUUGUCAAUGCAGCAACAGCAAAGCAAUGAUCGAAAGGAAGCUUUGGCAACCAAAGCAUUGCAAGCAAUGGUCAUUAAAAUUGAUCAAUUUGAUGGAAGGAAUAUUUCAAGGUAUUUAAGAUGUUAGGUUCAUGAAAUGGAAUUAAAUCAGGUUUCUGAGAAGAAAAUGGUUGAACUAUUUGGACUUGCCACGCUACCGGAGAUAAGAGACCACAUUACAUCGAUUAUGGAUCGUUAUGGGAAUUCAUGGGAGGUUUUUUCACAUGCAUUGAAAGACGAAUAUUUCUUGGAAGAUGCUGAUCGCGUUACUAAGAAGCUGUUUCUGGAAUGGAUUGAACGGCCUAAUAAGAAUUUGCAAGCAACAGAGCUACUAAGAGAAUUUGAGAGGCAGUACUCUCAAUUGUCAAAGGUAGAAAAAUUGACAUUGGAGCCGAACAAAGUUGAUCUAUUUCUUCAAGCUGCUGAUGGAGAAUUGCAAGGGAAAUUAGAACUCCUUCUUGAAGACAAAGAAGAAGAUGAAGGAUUGACAACGAAGUGGAAGAACGUUGAAGAUGCGAUGGGAUUGCUUAUAAAAAAAAGAAAGGAGGAAGGAUAGGAGCAAUAUUCAGAAAUCAGUACAAGCACCCAAAGCUCCAGUACGUACAACACCACCAACAAUGCCUACAGUUCAACCUUCGACAUCCUUAUCAAAGAAAGCAGAUAUGGGGAUGGAAGAAAUUAUACGAGGAAUGCGAGAUCUUCAAAUCAAAUUGGCAAGACUUAAAGAGAAUACUUCUAUAAACAAUUCGAAGAAUGUUUCAAAACAAAGAUAUGUACAAAGAUGCAUUUGGUGUGAUGAUGCUUCAUACACUAGAAAAGAUUGCAAUGAAUUUAAUAAUAUGAUACGGCAGAGAAUUAUUUUCUGGAAAGAUGGGAAGAUAGCAUUGAAAGAUAGGGAUGAUCUUCUUCAAACCAAUUUUGGCAAGGGAGGAAUGAGAGCAUUGGUUCAAGAUUACCUAAAAGAGCAUGAAACAACAGCAUGAGAAAGUGCAAGUUAUGGUACUAGAGUAGAUGAUGAAAUUGGUGAAGUAUGGAAACUAGUGAGUUUUGGACUUCUGCCGUUUCUACAAUGCAAGAAGGGAAAUUACCUCGAGAAGCGUUAUUGAGGACUGCAGCUAUAAUAUGAGGUAGAACAGGUUGGGAGGAUCCUGUUGAGUCUCUUUCAGUUCAUGCAUAUAUUGCUAAGAGCCAAAAUGAAGCUUUGGUGGAAGAAAAGACACGAGGAAAUUUUGAUGAUACUAGAGAAAGAAAUUCUUCUAAGAGGCAAACUCGAGGAGACAAGGCUCGGGAGGCAGCUUCACAAGAAUUGCCUGUAAAGGAUACCUCAGCAUCAUUGGGAGAAAAAACAAAAGAGACAAAAGAUAAGGGCAAAUCAAUUGCUUAUAAGCUACUUUCUGACAUUGAAGCGGCAACAAAUUUGAAAGGGGUGUUGGAAGAACGUAUAUUAAACGCUAAGGUGGAAUUCACAUUGAAAGAAGUCUUAGGAAUUGCAAAGAAGGAGUUUCAUGAUGUCAUCAUUGACAACAUUAAGCGAAAGAGGCAAUUAAUGGGAGAAACUGGAAUGAGUCAUGCUAUUGAUGCAAGAAUAUAUAAAGAAGAAGAAGAGAUUGAUAUUGGUUACAAGCAACCAACAAAUGAAAAGAAUGGGUAUAAUCAACGAGUACGUUUCGAAGAUUAUACUGAUAAAGAAAUAAAAACUUUGAGCCAUUAUACUCGAAAGCAUUAGGCAAGGGCAACUACUGAGGUAUUGGUGAAAGUAGGAGAUAUAUAAGAACCAAUUGUUGCUUUAGUCGACCAUGGUUCUGAAAUAAAUCUCAUGUCUAAAGAUCUUUAUAAGAAGCAAAAAUAGCCAAUUGAUAUGGAAUAUGGAUGGACAAUUCGAGCGGCUAAUAACACAUGGGGCGAAUUAUAUAGAGCUUGUCCAGAUGUCAAAAUUCGGAUUGGGGAUGUUGCGACGGAGCAACAUUUCUUUGUUCAAGAUACAACGUCUUAUCCGUUGAUUUUAGGACAACCUUAUAUUACGGCAACACGGAUGGAAACAAAAGUACUUGACGAUGAUUCUGCUUAUGCAAGGGUACGGAGCGAAGAUGAGAGGAAAGCUGUACAAUUUCUAACAAUACCUCCUAACCAUGAACGGAAUCGAGAUAGGUUAAGGGAGAAACCAUUGCCAAAGAUUGUUGAAGGAUUUAAGGAUUUUGGGAAGGUACCACUAUAAAGCGAGAUUAUGGAGGUACAAAAGAGGAGGUACUCUCGCGAGAUGAAGGUGCCUUUGAUGCGAGUUUUAUUGAUAUAUCAGAGAAUGGAAAUAUUAUGUAUAAGAAAGUUGAUGAUUUUAAAAGAAAAGAAAGAAAAAGAUUAUAUGAUAUUGAAAGACAAUUACGCAAGUUAGGUACACUACAAGAUGAUGAGAGGAUUUUAGGUGUUUAUGAAGAAAAUGGACUGGAACAUUCAUUGGAAUUGAUUACAUCUAUUGGGUUAAGAGAUAAUGAUAAGAUUGUUGAGAUUCAUUCAAGAGAGGUUUAUACCAUACUUGAAUCUUUUCAAGCACCAGAAGUCACUGUAGAGACGAGAUGUAAAACGGCAGAUAAGAAGGUAAAGCCUGUUGCCGGACCAUUACUAAAAGAUUCUAAAGAACAAAUGGGAGAAGCAUCAAAUGAAGCAAGUUUAAGAGAUCCAAUGAGUAUUGGAUACCAGUUUACUAAAGAGACUUUUGAAGAAUUAAAGAUUGGUUCUGAUGGUUCUUUAUUACCGGAAGAAAUUACUUGCUUCAAAAAGAUGUUGGCUUAACAAGGUAGAUUAUUUGCCUUCGAAUCUCAUGAAAUUGGGUGUGUGGAUCCAAAUAUUGUAACACCUAUGGUUAUCUUCACUGUACCACAUGUACCUUGGAAUCUAAGACUGAUUCUAGUACCGAGGGCACAUUUACCUAAAUUGGUUGAACUAUUAAAAAAAAAGAUAAAUAUGAAAAUAUUAGAACCUUCAUUUGUGCCAUAUUCUAGUCGAUGGUUUACGGUACCUAAGAAGAAUGGGUCACUACGGUUUAUUCAAGAUAUGCAACCGGUGAAUGCAGUAACUGUUAGGAAUGCAAGAAUUGGGCCUAUUGUGGAUGAAUUUGUUGAGGCGUUUGCUGGAAGGGCGAUCUAUUCAAUGGGUGACUUGUAUUCAAGUUAUGAUCAAUUUCAACUUGCCGAAGGAAGUAGAGAUAUGACAACAAUGAGGACACCACUUGGAUUGGUUAGAAUGUACACUCUUCCUCAAGGUGCGAUCAACUCAGUUGCGCAUAUGAUGAAUGAGAUGAAUAAGGUAUUGAGAGAUUUUAUUCCGAAAAAGACUAUGCCUUUUCUGGAUGAUGUUCCUAUAAAAGGGUGCAAAGAAAGAGACAAGGAUGAAACUUUAGAUACGAGGGGGUGUCGCAAAUAUAUUAUUGAUCAUAUACAAGAUUAUGAAAAGAUUUUAACUCGGCUUGGAGAAGUUCAUCUUACAUUAUCGGGUAUGAAGUCCGUAUUUGGAGUACGAGAGGUUGUGAUUGUUGGACAUUUAUGUGGAUCUUACAGAAGAAAAUGAAAUCCGACUAAAGUUGAUGCAAUUGGAAGGAUGAAAGAGGAUUGUGAUUCUUUAACAGAGGUUCGCAGGUUUUUGGGUGCAUGUGUAUUUUAUCGAAUCUGGAUCCCUCAUUUUGCUCACAUAGCGGAUCCAUUAUAUGAACUGUUACGCAAGGGUUACCGAUUUAAAUGGAAAGAAAGGCAUAUUCAGGCAAUGCAAAGAUUGAAGAAAUUAUUGAUGUCACCUCCAAUAUUGAGGAAGGUUGAUUAUAAGUGUAAUAGACUAGUGAUUCUUACUGUGGACGCUAGUCCAAUUGCCAUUGGAUGGGCUGUGGGUCAAGAUGAUUCAAAUGGGAAUAGAUUUGCAGUUUGAUUUGGGACUAAAGUUUUAAGUAUUCGUCAGCGUGCAUAUUCGCAAGUCAAAAGAGAACUUUGGGGAGUCGUUUCGGCUAUGAAAGCUGAAAAGGACUAUUUGAUGAGGGCAGUAGUAGUAAUUGAAACAGAUUCCUUGCCAUUGCUUGGAAUGAUUAUUAACUGUUCAAUGCCAGAUAUUACAAUGUUGAGAUGGAUUGCUUAUAUUAAAUCACUAAAUCUAGAAUUUAAGCAUAUUACUGGGAAGGACAAUUUAGUAGCAGACAUGCUAUCUCGAGCAAGAUACGAGAGGGAGGACGAAAUGGUUAAAGACAUUGAUGACGUUGGAUUGAAAUUCUAUUCAAUAUCAAAUUUCAACAGAGAAGACAAGCUAUUUCUUGAAGAAUCUUAUGAAGGAGAAUUAUUGGAUAUUGGUCAUUACUUGAAUACCUUGACUAAGCAGGGGAAUUGGUCUACAGAAAAAUUCAAACAAAUAAGAAAAAAAGCAUAUAGAUUUUUACUUCGAGAUGGAUUCUUAUGGAAGAGACCGAAGACAAGAAUUGGGAUGCCACAACGAGUGAUAGGCAAAAAGGAAGAAAGACUAAAAUUAUUAAAGGAGUUUCAUGAUAGUUUAUGGGCAGGGCAUAGAGGAAUCUGGGCUACUUUUGCUAAACUCAAGGAACGAUAUUGGUGGAAAAAUAUGUAUCGAGAUGUGCUCUCAUUUGUAGAGUCAUGUGAAAUCUGUCAAUCAUAUUCUAAUAUCCGACAUCGAGAUGGUCUUCAUCCUACGUAUCCUCUGGCUAUUCAUUUUAAAUGGGUUGUUGAUUUGGUUAUUAUGCCGGUUGGGUUAUGGCAGAUGAGAUAUUUGGUUUUAGUUCGUGAAGAUUUAUCAAAUCAAGUAGAAGGAAGAGCAUUGAGGACAAAAUCUACAGAGGAGAUUUGUAGGUUUUUGCUUGAAGAUGUCAUUUGCCACUACGGAUGCGUAGGAAAAAUCACUGCAGAUCAUGGAGAAUUAAAUGCACAAGAAGCUCGUAAGUUCUUUGAAAGAUGUGGACUUAAACUAUCACUGACUACUGCUUAUAAUCCAGAAGGAAAUGCAAAAAGCGAACGCGGUCACCCAACGAUUGUGAAAGCAUUAGUUAAAGCUUGUAAUGGGAAAGUUAAAGAGUGGCCACGGCUUUUGUCAUUUGCAUUAUGGGCUGAUCGAACAACACAUAGUUCGGUGACAGGAUAUAUGCCAGUAGAACUUAUGACAGGUCAAAAACCAAUUAUGCUGAUUGAAAAAAAGGUACUUACUUGGAGUAUGCUACCAUGGGAAGAUGGAAUGACAAGAGAAGAACUUCUGGCUAUUAGGAUUCGACAAUUGGAGCAAAGAACGGAAGAUGUCCAGAUAGCAUUGGGAAGGUUAAAAAGAGCAAGGUUACAAAAUAAGGCACGAUUUGAUAAGCAACAUCGAUUGAGACCAAAAGCAAUCGAGGAAGGUGACUAGGUACUUGUUUAUGAUAAUAGUUUGGAUAAUCAACAUAGUACUUUGCGGAAAUUUUCAAAACGUUGGUUUGGACCAUAUAUAGUAACAACUGUUCAUGAUAAUGUGACUUACUCAUUACGGGAGUUAGAUGGUACAAAAUUGAAAAUACCAAUUGCAGGGAAGUGAGUAAAAAUAUUUAAACGAAGACACGCGGAGAUGAAUAUGGAAGACCUUAAUGAAGGUAUAGAGAUUCCGCAGCAAGAAGAUGAAAGUGAUUUGGAUAAUGAAGGUGACGAAGACGAACAGGACAAAGACGUAGAGGAUAUAUUCUGAAUCAAACAACAAUUGGGUAAAUUGGUGCAUAUCGGAGGAUGCACAGAUUCAGAGGAGGUGGAUGUCGUAUUGUAACAUGAGUAUACCGUGAAAAUAUAAAGAAAGGGGACUUUUAUUAAUGUUCAGUUACCUCGAAUAUUGGGAGCAACGACCAACUCCAAUGCAAAUACUGAGUAGCCAAGUUCAGUCACCCCAUUACAGUCAGCCAAGGCAUACUAAAAUGCUCCAUUUGAUUCAAAUAACGGGAGUCAGCAGGAAGAGAAAGGACCAAUUCUCAUGACUGGUGAGCUUGGUUCGAAGAGCCAAUUGGAUCCAAUUUCAAGAAUCCAAUCCGGGUCCUCUUACCCAAUAUGAGACCUUCAUUGGUCAGGCAACCCAAUGCAGUCUUGUUACGGGAACAUCCAGGUUACUACAGGCAUCUUACCCAAUAUGAGACCUGCAUUGGUCGGGCAACCCAAUGCAGUCUAAUUACGGGAGAAUCCGGGUCUUACUACUGGACUCUUAUCCAAUAUGAGACCUGAAUUGGUCGGGCGACUCAAUGUGGACCCGAGUAUGGGGUUUUGAUUCUGUUUCAGGUUGUACUAUUCUCUGUUUCAGGGAACGUUGUUUUCGAUAAAUGGAUUUCUUAAAGGUUAAAACAGAGGAGAAAGCUCUGACAGCGAGAGCCAAAUUCGGAUCUAAGCCUUGAUGGCGAGAGUCAAUUUCGGAUCUAAGCUCUGACGGUGGGAGCAAAUUUCGGAUCCAAGAUGGAAGAUUGAAGAAAUUCAGAGGAUAAGGUUAGGGGGGGAGUAAGUUUUGGGGAGGUUUUUUUUCAGAUCAGGGGGGAGGUUUUUUUUUGAAGAUAGGGAAGAGCUAGCUUCAAGCUCUUUUUAAGGUUAUUAGUUCAGUUUCAUUGGAGGUUUUUGAAGAUCAGGGAUUGGAGAUGAGCUUCAUGCUUUGGAUCGGGGAAGAAAAGACGGAGUAUUGGAUUUUUCUUCUUCAUAGAGUUUUGAAGAGACUGAGGCAAUCGUUGUUGAAGUCAGUGUUGUAAUGGUGAAUCGAGAUUUUUUAAUGAAGUGGGUUUGAUUACUCUUGACUGUUUUGUGAAAUCGAGUUACGUCUGUGAUUGAAGGAUUAAAAGGGUGUCUAUAGGAUUGAGUAUGCGGAGUGAAUGAAUUUUAUUGGGUUAAUCUAACAAGACAGUCAGUGGAUAGAAGAUCGUAAGUACAAAGCGGUAUCGGAGAUUAGCAGAUUGGGUUGUUCAAGGUUCUCUGUAGCGUCUAGAGAUCUACUGGCUGGGGCAAAAAGGACUUCGACAAGCAGACGAAGGGCAUCCGUAUAGAUUUACGGUGUAUUCUUGCAGUUGUUUAUAUUCCAACAAUCAAAAACAUAUAGACUGCUUGACUAUUGGCGAAUCUCCAUAUUACCUUCUACAGCCAGACGCCCGGCACGUUCUCGAGUAGGAAAGCACGUAAUACGAUACCGUCUUGACUUCUUAUCCUUGCAUAAGCUGAUCCAUCAUCUAUAACCUUUGUCUCCAUUCAUGUGGCAGUAAUAUAUGGUUGUCUUAAUAUAAUAGGAUACAUAGACAUAUCUUGCACAAAGAAAUUUUGUUCAUCAAUAACAUCUCCUAUUGUCACUUUGAUAUUUGGACAAGCUCGAUACAAAUCUCUUUUUGAAUUAUUUGCUACUCUUAUCAUCCACCCAUGCUCAAUAUCAAUAGGCCAAUUUCUCUUUUUAUAUAAUUUUGUUGACAUUAAAUUUAUUUUAGAAACAUAAUCAAUCAAUGCUACAAUUGGUUCUUUUACAUCUCUCAAUUUUAUUAAAAUUUCCGUAGUAUCUCUUGCCCAAUGACUCCGAGAAUAAUGACUAGAAGCUUGAAUCAUAUCUUCUUUUCCUAUAAAUUUGACUCGUGAAACAUCUCCAACAAUUUACAUUUCAAUUUCUUCAUCUUUAUUGCUUUCUAUUGCCUUUGUACCUUGUGCAUUUGAUGUCAUAGUAUCACCAAUAGAUUGCCGUUUUUUUUUUUAUUGUAUCAAUAAUAACUUCAUGAAAUUUUCAUUUUACAAUUCUUAGAAUUUCACCAAUUGUAAAUUCAACCUUUUCACUUAAAAUCCGCUCCUCCAAUAUUUUCUUCAAAUCUGUAGCAGCUUCAAUAUCUGAUUGUAAUUUAUGAGCAGGAACCUUUGCUUUUUCUUUCAUAAUCUCCCUCUCUUUUGUAGAAAUAUUCUCUAUUGUCUCUUCAUACAUAGGAUUCUUCUCUUGUCGAAUUUUAUCUCUCCUUGUGAUUCUUUUUGAUGGCCCUUCAUGAUUUUCGUUUCUCCUUCAUUUUUCUUCUAUUAAUGCUUCAUGUUGACUCCUUGUAAUAUGAACAUGAAUUGAUAAUCUAUCUACUAGAUCAUCCCACCUAGUAAUUUACCAAAUUUUAUUGCCAACAUGUUUUAGAUCAUCUCCAAUAAAAUUUCUCUUUUGAACAUAAUUCAUUGCACUUGACUAUAAAGAACUAGAUUCUCUUAGAUACUCAAGAUUUAUACUUAAGCAUUUUCUUGGAUUUGCUCCCACCCAAAAUAUUGAUGCUUCAUUGCUUGAAGUUGUAUGCACCUUGAAAGCAUCUCCUACAAACACCUUCAUUCUCCUUUUACCAAAAUUUGUCUCUAAUUUUUCUCCACUCUCUUUUAAGUGUAUCAUACCAUCUUUAAAAAAAAAAAAUCCUUUGUAUAGUGCCUCUGAAAAAUCCUCACACUUCCUUCUUGAAUGAUCUAUGCUAUCAUACCACAUGCACCUAUGCACCAUACUUUCUAUUGGUCUUAAAUUUUGUCUUGUUGAUAUUCUUGAUGAUUGAUCCAUCUCUUCAAGUUUUGUAAAUUUUAUUUGCAAAUAUCUCAUCCUUCGUAUGAUUUCAACAAUGCCCAUUUCUUCUCUCUUUGAUGUAGCCAUUGAAGGUUGAAUCGUAGAUGUACGAUAGAUAGCAGGAAUUUUUUCUUUAGAUGCUUACAAUGGUCUUUGAAUUUCUAUCCUAACUUUUUUCUUUUUUCUUUUUACAAGCAUCCCAAUCGCCUCUUCUACUUUCUCUUAAUUUGUUGUCAAUCCUUCAACUUCAUCUUUAUCUUCCAGCAAAAUUUCCAACUUCUCUUACAACUCUCCUCUAGCUGCUUGAAGAAAAAGCUCCACUUUACUUGAAUCUAAUAAUUUCCUCUCGUUCUUUGAUAAAUAAGAAUAUUGCUUUUCAAACUCCCUUAGUAACUCCGUUGCUAGUAGAUCCUUCUUAGGCCUUUCAAUCCAUUCAAAAAAUGACUUCUUUGUAACUCGGUCACUAUCUUCUAAAAAAUACUCAUCUUUUAAUACUUGAGAUAAUUUUUUCAAUGAACCUCCAAAAUGUCCUAGAAUGGACUUCACAUGAUUUCUUAUUUUUGAUACAGUAGCCAAUUCAAAUAGCUGAAUCAUCUCCUUCUCUGAAACAUGCUUCAAUUCCAUUUCCUUUACGUAACAUCUUAAAUAUUUUGUAAUAUCCUUCCCUUCAAAUUGAUCAAUCUUGUCUACAACAACUUGUAAUGCUUUGUUUGCCAUGCCCUCUUUGCGAUCCUUAACCUGUUGUUGUUGCAUGAAUAAGGUCAAUGCCUCAAACAUGCUUGCAGAGUUGGGAUCAAAAUAUAUACCUUGUCUUUCAAUUGAAGCUCCACUUCCAACUCCACUUGAAGCACCACCAAAAACUCCUCCUUCCACUCUCUUACCUUUCUUCUCUAUAAUCCAAAUAGAUCAAAGAAACUCCAAAUACCUCCCACCUCAAGUUUUUCACAUCGGAUUCACCAAAUAUGUCGUAUUAUGUGAAGUCUUGCUUGAAAAUGCACCAAGCACCUAGCUAUGGAAGAUAAAGAAAAUUGGAACAAAAGAUCCUAACAAUCCAAUAGGAUUAUAGAGAAUUUACAAUUAAACGUUAAUAAUCAUAAUCAAACAUUAAGCAAGCUCAAUUAAAUUUUAUUGAAGUUAUAAAAAAAAUACAAGAAAAUCCUAAAGAAAUAUAAAAAAAUAUUAAAGAAAACUUAGUCAAACCCUAACAAAAAUAUAAUUAAACCUUAAAUUCUAACCAAUCCCUAAUCCUAAUCCAACCUUAAUCAAAUCCUAGACAAAUCCUAAAUCCUAAACCAAACCCUAAUCAAACCUUAAUCAAAUCCUAAACCUUAAAUCAAUCCCUAAUCAAAUCCUAAACCAAAUCCUAAAUCCUAACCCAAACCCUAAUCCAAAUCCUAAUCUAAACCCUAAUCCAAAUUCUAAACCCUAAACCAAACCCUAAAUCCUAAAUCGUAAACCAAAUCCUAAAUCAAAUCCUAAAUCAUAUCCUAACUCUAAAAAAUCCUAAACCCUAAACCAAAUCCUAAUCAAAUCCUAAUC